rnacentral:rRNA from 1 species
CUCAGGACGAACGCUGGCGGCGUGCCUAAUACAUGCAAGUCAACGGCUUUUCUAUGGAAGCUUGCUUCCGCUGAGAAGAUAGUGGCGAACGGGUGAGUAACACGUGGGUAACCUGCCCAUAAGAGGGGGAUAACAUCCGGAAACGGGUGCUAAUACCGCAUAGUUUUCUUGAUCGCAUGAUCGGGAAAGAAAAGACGGCCUUUGUGCUGUCGCUUAUGGAUGGACCCGCGGCGUAUUAGUUAGUUGGUGAGGUAACGGCUCACCAAGACGAUGAUACGUAGCCGACCUGAGAGGGUGAUCGGCCACAUUGGGACUGAGACACGGCCCAAACUCCUACGGGAGGCAGCAGUAGGGAAUCUUCCGCAAUGGACGAAAGUCUGACGGAGCAACGCCGCGUGAGUGAAAGAAGGUUUUCGGAUCGUAAAACUCUGUUGUCAGAGAAGAACAAGUUGGAGAGUAACUGCUCCAGCCUUGACGGUAUCUGACCAGAAAGCCACGGCUAACUACGUGCCAGCCGCCGC